AACGAACGCUGGCGGCGUGGAUAAGACAUGCAAGUCGAACGGGACCAGGUUUGUAGUAAUACCGACUUGGUUCAGUGGCGCACGGGUGCGUAACACGUGAGCAAUCUGCCGGGAAGUGGGGGAUAGCUCGCCGAAAGGCGAAUUAAUACCGCAUGUGGCCAUCCUUCGAGUGGAGGCAAAGCCAAAGCAGCAGUGCGCUUCCUGAUGAGCUCGCGGCCUAUCAGCUCGAUGGCGGGGUAACGGCCCACCAUGGCUUUGACGGGUAGCUGGUCUGAGAGGACGACCAGCCACACUGGAACUGAGAUACGGUCCAGACACCUACGGGUGGCAGCAGUCGAGAAUUUUUCACAAUGGGGGCAACCCUGAUGGAGCGACGCCGCGUGGAGGAUGAAGGCCUUCGGGUUGUAAACUCCUGUCAUGCGGGAACAAGCAAGUGAUAGUACCGCAAGAGGAAGAGACGGCUAACUCUGUGCCAGCAGCCGCGGUAAUAC
rnacentral:rRNA from 1 species